rnacentral:ncRNA from 2 species
AUCAAAUCGUAGAUGGAGAGUAGUAGGUCUGCUUAAUGAUCUUCAUGACAGAGAGCCGGGGCGGUGGGAACCGGUAUGAAGAACAGGCUGAAUGGACUUCGGAGUGCUUUUCUGAACUAGACUCUUUAAGAGAAGCCGUUUAAUCAGCGUUAUUUGAUUAAGAGUGGAAGAGUGAUUUACUUUUCAAUAGAGGUGGCACCGCGGUUCCGACCGUCCCCUAU